rnacentral:rRNA from 1 species
GUGCCAGCCGCCGCGGUAAUACGUAGGUGGCAAGCGUUGUCCGGAAUCAUUGGGCGUAAAGCGCGCGCAGGCGGUCCCUUAAGUCUGAUGUGAAAGCCCACGGCUCAACCGUGGAGGGUCAUUGGAAACUGGGGGACUUGAGUGCAGAAGAGGAAAGCGGAAUUCCAAGUGUAGCGGUGAAAUGCGUAGAGAUUUGGAGGAACACCAGUGGCGAAGGCGGCUUUCUGGUCUGUAACUGACGCUGAGGCGCGAAAGCGUGGGGAGCAAACAGGAUUAGAAACCCUAGUAGUCC